AUGUUUGCUGUCUCCUACUUUGGGAGGGCUGAAGAAUCUAAGCUGUGUGAUGUCACUUUGGUUAGCACACCCCCCAGUUCUAUCACAUCAGAACAGGACAGAUGGCAUCAUGGUAAGAGAACACACAGUAGGAGUGAGUUACAGGGGAUCACAUGUACUGUUCUGACCUCUGCAGGUACCACUGGAUUCUGGGUUGCCUCUUGUUUCUUUUACUGUUCAUGUCUCAGAAUUAUGAAACAAAGACCUAAUUGUGGCCCAGAUGUUUCUUACAACAGAGUCUACCCUACAAGAUCUUUACUUACCAGCAAAGGGACAGGCCAGUACUACAACACAGGGCAUGCUCCUGCAUACCACCUGCUACUUAGUGCCAACAUUUCCCAGUGAUGGAGCAGCACUUGUGAGCCAAAUGGUCACCCCACAAAGUGAAAUUCUGCAGAUAUAGCAAUAGUACACGGUUCUGCCUCUGUUCCUCAUGAAAUAAAAAGGCAGACGGUCCAUUUCA
rnacentral:lncRNA from 1 species